rnacentral:lncRNA from 1 species
AGAAAUACUGAAUUCUACCUCAGAGGACACAGCCGCCUCCAAUGGCUGUGACUCAGGGUCCCCACUUAAAGACACUGGCACAGAGGAGAGCCUGUGGUCACUCGCACCAAUAAAGAGAGAUCAGAGAGAGAAGCUACCUGAAGACAUGGUGCUUGCAUAUUUGGAGGAAGAGGUGCUGGAGCACAGCUGUGACCCACUCGCCUACUGGAACCUGAAGCGGUCAUCCUGGCCUGGGCUGUCCACCUUAGCAGUGCGAUUUCUGGGCUGUCCGCCAAGUACAGUCCCCUCAGAAAAGCUGUUCAGCACACCCAUGGAGGCUGGCAGCUUUGGCCAGCCCAGGCUCAUGAUGGAGCAUUUUGAAAAGCUCAUCUUUUUAAAAGUGAAUCUCCCCUUAAUAUGCUUUCAGUAUUGAACUCAAGAGACGGAGCCACCAGACUGGAAGGAGAGGUGCUUCAGAGCGCUAGCUAUUGUACCAGGGCUGACUCACCUGGCAGGGCCAUGUAGGACACCAGACCAGGCAUCUGGGGCUACCUGCCAGUUCUCACCAUAAUAUCCACAUGUGCCUUACUCCUCCUUCAGGCCAGGUGUCGAGGUGCGUUUUCAGAAGCCCACUAGAAACAAAGUCUUGGCAAUUAUGAAAUAGGAUGAUCAGGUUUAAACUAUUAAUUUUUUUUUAAAGGAGAUAGUAAUCUGUUUUACUAGAGUGAAAGGAAGAUGUAAACAAUUUUAUUGUGUAGGGUUUUUAUUCAGUUGUGUAAAAACCACAAAUCAGGUGCUGUAUUUUAAUUAAAUAUUAUUUUAAUUGCAACAAAACAGCUUUUGUGGCUGUCAAAUGAAACCUGCAGGAGGUGGACGGUAAGCCAUGCUGACUGAACAGUUCUUAACCACAGACUCCAAGAGUAUGUCAAAGAGAGGAUAUUUUGGAAGCUGUUUACUGUGACAGAACCAGGCGUUUGAAAACAAAACUGAACUUGGGCAUAUCAUGGAGUGUCAGUCACAUGGCUAGUUGGUCAUGAGAACGUUCCCAUGUCAGGUGUUUGCAUUCAGGUUUUACAUGGUCAGUUAACUCAGAGAUAUCCCACUUAUCAUGAGCUCCUUGAAAUUGGAUCCACGUUUUAAAGUCAUGCUUCGGACUUCACCAGAGCAUGAUAUGACACGUUUACAACAGAUGGCCCGCUGAUCAAAUCUCCAGGCCUCUGAUUUAGUUUUUGCGUCUCUCUACAAUAAAGCUAUCUCAUAAGAAGUAUGCACUGACCCCCUCCCAGUUUGACCAGACUAUAGCUCAGAUUCUACUUUGAGGAGGUAGCUUGUUAACAGGGAGAGCACUUGUUUAUUGCAGUCAUGAGAAAAGCCUUAGGCAUCUAGAUUUUUUUCCUGUGAUAGGGAAGACUCAACCGUCCUUGGGACAUUAUAGAAAUCCCAAGGCUAUCAAAAUGAAGUUUCAGCUGUCAGAUUCUUUACCAGACUCCAAAGGUUUUGCUUAUAAUGUCUAAAAAAAGUUUUUCAUUUUCUCAUUUCAAAUCAAAUAUUAUGGAUAAAUCAUUCAUUUGCUUCUGACCUUUUAAAAAAAAUGUUUUGUUGAAAUACUGUAUGUAGGCUUAGUCUGAAUUUGCGUGGACUACGCUUUAGUGUAUUUAUAAAUGAUGAACUUGGAUUCUGAAAUUAAACUUUUUAUUUGCGAUUUUCU